UGGGGAAUAUUGGACAAUGGGCGAAAGCCUGAUCCAGCAAUGCCGCGUAAGUGAUGAAGGCCUUAGGGUUGUAAAGCUCUUUUACCCGGGAAGAUAAUGACUGUACCGGGAGAAUAAGCCCCGGCUAACUCCGUGCCAGCAGCCGCGGUAAUACGGAGGGGGCUAGCGUUGUUCGGAAUUACUGGGCGUAAAGCGCGCGUAGGCGGCUUUGUAAGUUAGAGGUGAAAGCCCGGAGCUCAACUCCGGAACUGCCUUUAAGACUGCAUCGCUAGAAUCAUGGAGAGGUGAGUGGAAUUCCGAGUGUAGAGGUGAAAUUCGUAGAUAUUCGGAAGAACACCAGUGGCGAAGGCGGCUCACUGGACGACUGUUGACGCUGAGGUGCGAAAGCGUGGGGAGCAAA
rnacentral:rRNA from 1 species